AUUGAACGCUGGCGGCAGGCCUAACACAUGCAAGUCGAGCGGGCGGCGGACGGGUGAGUAAUGCCUGGCAGUUGCCCGGUCGAGGGGAAUAACAGUUGGAAAAGCCUGCUAAGCCCACUUACGGUUGGAUUGCACAGUUGGGGUUAGCUAGUUGGUGAGGUAAUGGCUCACCAAGGCGACCAUCCCUAGCUGGUCUGAGAGGAUGAUCAGCCACACUGGAACUGAGACACGGCCCAGACUCCUACGGGAGGCAGCAGUGGGGAAUAUUGCACAAUGGGGGAAACCCUGAUGCAGCCAUGCCGCGUGUAUGAAGAAGGCCUUCGGGUUGUAAAGCACUUUCAGUGGGGAGGCGUUACUCGCAGAAGAAGCACCGGCUAACUCCGUGCCAGCAGCCGCGGUAAUUC
rnacentral:rRNA from 1 species